GCUUUCUUGAUGUAACUGGUAACACAUCCAGUUGGCAGCUGGAAGAUCCGUGGUUCAAAUCUCGGAGAGAACA
rnacentral:tRNA from 1 species